GAGAGCCGUAACACAGGUGCUGCAUGGCUGUCGUCAGCUCGUGUCGUGAGAUGUUGGGUUAAGUCCCGCAACGAGCGCAACCCUUGUCAUUAGUUGCUACAUUCAGUUGGGCACUCUAAUGAGACUGCCGGUGACAAGCCGAGGAAGUGGGAUGACGUCAAGUCCUCAUGGCCCUUAUAGGUGGGGCUACACACGUCAUACAAUGGCUGGUACAAAGGGUUGCCAACCCGCGAGGGGGAGCUAAUCCCAUAAAGCCAGUCGUAGUCCGGAUCGUAGUCUGCAACUCGACUACGUGAAGUCGGAAUCGCUAGUAAUCGUGGAUCAGAAUGUCACGGUGAAUACGUUCCCGGGUCUU
rnacentral:rRNA from 1 species